rnacentral:rRNA from 1 species
AUUGAACGCUGGCGGCAUGCCUUACACAUGCAAGUCGAACGGCAGCACGGGAUUCGGGCAACUGAGCCCUGGUGGCGAGUGGCGAACGGGUGAGUAAUGCAUCGGAACGUGCCCAGUAGUGGGGGAUAACUAGUCGAAAGAUUAGCUAAUACCGCAUACGACCUAUGGGUGAAAGCGGGGGAUUCGCAAGAACCUCGCGCUAUCGGAGCGGCCGAUGUCUGAUUAGCUAGUUGGCGGGGUAAAAGCCCACCAAGGCUUCGAUCAGUAGCUGGUCUGAGAGGACGACCAGCCACACUGGGACUGAGACACGGCCCAGACUCCUACGGGAGGCAGCAGUGGGGAAUUUUGGACAAUGGGCGCAAGCCUGAUCCAGCCAUGCCGCGUGCGGGAAGAAGGCC